GACGAACGCUGGCGGCGUGCUUAACACAUGCAAGUCGAACGAGAAUCUACUGAAGGAGGAUUCGUCCAACGGAAGUAGAGGAAAGUGGCGGACGGGUGAGUAACGCGUGAGGAACCUGCCUUGAAGAGGGGGACAACAGUUGGAAACGACUGCUAAUACCGCAUGACGCAUAGAGGUCGCAUGAUCUUUAUGCCAAAGAUUUAUCGCUUCAAGAUGGCCUCGCGUCUGAUUAGCUAGUUGGCGGGGUAACGGCCCACCAAGGCGACGAUCAGUAGCCGGACUGAGAGGUUGAACGGCCACAUUGGGACUGAGAUACGGCCCAGACUCCUACGGGAGGCAGCAGUGGGGAAUAUUGGGCAAUGGGCGCAAGCCUGACCCAGCAACGCCGCGUGAAGGAAGACGGUUUUCGGAUUGUAAACUCCUGUUCUUAGUGAAGAAUAAUGACGGUAGCUAAGGAAUAAGCAUCGGCUAACUACGUG
rnacentral:rRNA from 1 species